GACGAACCGUGCGAACGUUGUUCGGAUUCACUGGGCGUAAAGGGUGCGUAGGCGGCCGUGCAAGUCUGGCGUGAAAGCCCCGGGCUCAGCCCGGGAAGUGCGCUCGAAACUGCGCGGCUCGAGUGCCGGAGGGGAGAGUGGAAUUCCUGGUGUAGCGGUGAAAUGCGUAGAUAUCAGGAGGAAUACCGGUGGCGAAAGCGACUCUCUGGACGGCAACUGACGCUGAGGCACGAAAGCGUGGGGAGCAAACAGG
rnacentral:rRNA from 1 species